rnacentral:lncRNA from 1 species
GAAUCUUAGAUCUAAGAAUUUCUAGCCAAAAUCCUAAACCAAAAUCUUUGUGAUUUCGAACCGUAGUAUCCUUAACCAUGUGUUCUCUUAUAAGAACACAUGGUUAGGGAUGUUACACGUCAAAAAUCUGAAAGGAUUCAGACGUUAGUGACUGGCCGGAGUUCCUCGUGCUUCUGUGAGUUUUUCAUGUUUCUUUUCACUCGCAUGGUUGAAGUCUUAGUUACAGUUUUUGUUUCAUUAAUUGUUCUGUUAAAUUUAGGAUUUAUUUUGUGUAUUAGUAUAAUUUUGUCAAUUGUUGUUAGUUCUGAGUUGAUAUUUGUUUGAAUGAUUGUGAGUUUAUGGGUUAAGAAUUAUUUUAAAUUCAUUUAAAGUUGAUCAUGUUAGCUUAAGCUUUGCUUUGAUCGAUCCUGGUUUCUGGGUUCCCUUAGUUUGACUGAGUUGGUAUAAUUGAACAUUUGGGUUGGUCAGUUUGAUUAGUUGAUUUCUGAGUACUAAUUAAUCAAUUUCAGUUAGUUUUAGAUUAACUUAGGGGAUUGGUUAUAGUUGUUAAGGAUGAGGGUAGGUUCAGUAACUUUGAGGAGCCUUCAGGGGUAGUCUGGGUAUGGAAAAGGGUAGUUCUGAUAGGAAUAGUAAUAUCAAGUUAUAUGGAAGGGCAGUAUAUGUAUUGUAUGGGUAGAGGAAUACCCUAGGGCCUUCUAGAAUGGGAUUUUAGUGCACAUUUCAGCACAAUAGGGGUGCUUACUUGUUUAGCAAGUCAAUAAUAGGGGGACUAAACUGAAAAUAGGGAAGGGACUAAUUAGAAAAUCAGAAUCUGAUCUAUUCUCUUUUGGUUGCCUAUAAAAGGGCAUGAAAUGCCUUGGGAAAGGGGGUUGUUCUUCUUCCUUCAGCUCUAAGCUCGAAAUCCCCACAAAAGGCUCUCCUCCCUGCUUUCAAUUCCAGUUAGUAGUUCCAUUCCAGUAUUCAAAAAAUAAAAACAUCAAAAAAUGAACAAAUCAAAAACAAUCUUACAGUUUCAUUAUUAGUUUUGGAUUUCAGUUGGGUUUUGGGUUUAGCAGUAUUGCAGAGGUGUUUGGGUUCAGCUGUGAGGGCUAGGAGUGUAUUUGAAGUAUGUGUUGAAUUGAUCUGUGGAGGCUGCCUGUAUUUCUGGUUUUCAAAAGCAGUUCUUGGCCUGUCCUAUGGUAUAUAUUGUUGAGUUUGCUGCUGUUGCUGUUCAAAGUAGCUGACUCCUUUCCUUCUCAUAUUUUCAUUUAUCCAGGUACACAAUUGUACCCCUGAUGAAUGUGAGCUCAAAUGGGCAGAAAUGAAUUAUUUGAAGAAUGAAUGUACAUGCAG